GUUUCUAUAGUUGAAUUUACAACGGUGAUUUUUCAUGUCACAGGUCGUGGGUUGACUGCGUAGGAAUA
rnacentral:tRNA from 1 species